CUGUGACAACGAGUAGCGCUUAGCUGGUACCAUAUAACGAUAUGGUUUGAGCUAAGCGCUACUUGUAAUCACAGAAAGUCAACUCUAAUUUCUCCACCGCAGUCUUGACCACAAAUUUUAAUGAACGCUCGUUAGCUUACACUCCCUUUCUUCUCUUCGUUCUUGUCUCUAUCCCUAAUUUCAAAAAUUUGAGAGGUAUAUGGGAAAAUCCAUGAUAUUCUAAAAAAAGAGACCAAGGUUGAUAGUAUAAAAGGCCCAAGUAGAAUCCAAGAGAAGAGCAGUAACAAGAACAUUAUCCCAAUCUUUCGGACAUCAUCCAGUAUGUGAAUUUGAGCCAGCGCCGUAGGAACACUGUGCCCACUCCUAAAACCAGAUUGGAUAUCAUGUUAUUCAGUCAUGGCUCUAAAGGGGGACAAUAUAGAAGAAUUCUACUGGAUUCCAGAACUAAAAGAUUCAAAACUUAAAUAAAAUUAUUCACAUGUUAUAUUACCCAGACCAGAUUGAUAAAUAAACAACAAAUACCUUAUCAAUUAUAUUAUAGAAUAUCUAAAGUUUACCAUUGCAUAUCCCAUACAAAAAGCUUUUCCUCCAGCAGUUACUGGGGUUGAAUGUCCAUAUCCUAUCAUAGCCAAAA